rnacentral:rRNA from 1 species
GUGGGGAAUAUUGGACAAUGGGGGAAACCCUGAUCCAGCGACGCCGCGUGAGUGAAGAAGUAUUUCGGUAUGUAAAGCUCUAUCAGCAGGGAAGAAAAUGACGGUACCUGACUAAGAAGCCCCGGCUAACUACGUGCCAGCAGCCGCGGUAAUACGUAGGGGGCAAGCGUUAUCCGGAUUUACUGGGUGUAAAGGGAGCGUAGACGGCACUGCAAGUCUGGAGUGAAAGCCCGGGGCUCAACCCCGGGACUGCUUUGGAAACUGUGGUGCUGGAGUGCAGGAGAGGUAAGUGGAAUUCCUAGUGUAGCGGUGAAAUGCGUAGAUAUUAGGAGGAACACCAGUGGCGAAGGCGGCUUACUGGACUGUAACUGACGUUGAGGCUCGAAAGCGUGGGGAGCAAACAGGAUUAGAAACCCGAGUAGUCC